GCGUCUGGGUCACACCCGUUCCCAUCCCGAACACGGAAGUUAAGCCAGACAGCGCCGAUGGUACUUGGGUGGAUUCGCCCUGGGAGAGUAGGU
rnacentral:rRNA from 1 species